UACAUCUACAUUUAUUUUAUAAAUGAGGAAAUACAUGUGAAUAAUUCAAUCUGAAUUAUAAAUCUGAAAUGAGUAAACCAAUCGGAGUGUUUAAUUGUAAGCUCCGCCCCUUUUUUGCUUUCGGAUCGCGUCUCAGUUCAGAGGAGAGAUGCAGAGCGACAGAGACACUCGAUCUAACGCGAGAGUGUUUAAUUUGAUUAAAUAUGACUCUUAAGUUCAUAUAAACUGAAGAGAUCAGAAUUUAACUUGCAUAUAUUCAAUGAUACAGCGUGAUUGUGUGGAUUGAGCACUUUUUGAGCUUUCAUUUUGACCUGUGUGAUUAUGUAAAACCACAUGGUGCGUUGUGUUCACUGCUGUUCGCUGACGCCAUUUUGGUUGCACGUGCCUGUGAAAGACAAAAAGAGAGAGAAACACGUGAAUGGACAGCUGGAUUUUCCUAAUUGAUGGCGAGCCUCCCAUUUCGACCUGAUUGGAUCACGAAUCUAGAGGAAAGGACAAUUUUCUAUUUUAAAUAUUUUUCUUCAGACAAGUAAGAGGAUACAUUUCAGAAACUGUUUCCUUAUUUUGUUUGUUUACUUUAUUGAACUGAAACAUUUCAGAAGCACAAUUCUGAUAAUUUAAGACU